rnacentral:tRNA from 1 species
GGACCAGUAGCAUAAUGGAUAGUGCACCUGAUUACGGAUCAGGAGGUUGGGGGUUCGAGUCCCUCCUGGUCCG